rnacentral:rRNA from 1 species
GACGAACGCUGGCGGCGUGCUUAACACAUGCAAGUCGAACGGAAAGGCCCUGCUUGCAGGGUGCUCGAGUGGCGAACGGGUGAGUAACACGUGGGUGAUCUGCCCCUUACUUUGGGAUAAGCCUGGGAAACUGGGUCUAAUACUGGAUAGGACCAUGCUGUAGGUGGUGUGGUGGAAAGAUUAGUUUCGGUAAGGGAUGAGCUCGCGGCCUAUCAACUUGUUGGUGGGGUAAUGGCCUACCAAGGCGUCGACGGGUAGCCGGCCUGAGAGGGUGGGCGGCCACAUUGGGACUGAGAUACGGCCCAGACUCCUACGGGAGGCAGCAGUGGGGAAUAUUGCGCAAUGGGCGCAAGCCUGAUGCAGCGACGCCGCGUGGGGGAUGACGGCCUUCGGGUUGUAAACUCCUUUCAGCCAUGACGAAGCCCUUGUGGUGACGGUAGUGGUAGAAGAAGCACCGGCUAACUACGUG